GAUGAACGCUGGCGGCGUGCCUAAUACAUGCAAGUCGAGCGAACGGACGAGGCGCUUGCUUUUCUGAUGUUAGCGGCGGACGGGUGAGUCACACGUGUAUAACCUACCUAUAAUACUGGUAUCACUUCGGGAAACCGGAGCUAAUCCCGGAUAAUAUUUUGCACCGCAUGGUUCAAAAGUGAAAGACGGUCUUGCUGUCACUUAUAGCUGGAUCCGCGCUGUAUGAGCUGGUUGGUACGGUAACGGCUUUCCACGGCGACGAUGCGUAGCCGACGGGUGGGGGGGAUCGGCCACAUUGGAGCGGAGACAGGCACCAGACGACUAAGGGAGGGAGCAGUAGGGAAUCGUCCGCAAUGGGCGAAAGCCUGACGGAGCAAGGCCGCGUGAGUGAUGAAGGUGUUCGGAGCGGAAAACUCUGUUAUUAGUGAAGAACAGAUGUGUAAUGAACUGUGCACAUCGUGACGGUACCUAAUAAGAAAGCAACGGCUAACUACGUG
rnacentral:rRNA from 1 species